rnacentral:tRNA from 1 species
GCCGAAGUGGCGGAACAGGCAGACGCAAGGGACUUAAAAUCCCUCGGUGGCAACACCGUAUCGGUUCAAAUCCGAUCUCCGGCACCA